UACGUAGGGUCCGAGCGUUGUCCGGAAUUAUUGGGCGUAAAGAGCUCGUAGGCGGUCUGUCGCGUCGGCUGUGAAAACUCAGGGCUCAACCCUGAGCCUGCAGUCGAUACGGGCAGACUAGAGUUCGGUAGGGGAGACUGGAAUUCCUGGUGUAGCGGUGAAAUGCGCAGAUAUCUGGAGGAACACCUAUUGCGAAGGCAGCUCGCUGGGACGUAACUGACGCUGAGACGCGAAAGCGUGGGGAGCAAACAGG
rnacentral:rRNA from 1 species